ACUGUCCCCACCUCAAGUUCCGCAUUCUCUCUGUUAUUAGUCGCCCGUGAGUUCGGCGAGUGGCUUCGUGUAGGUAGUCGUUGUAAAUAUUCUUGAACAAACACGUGCACCCCUUGGCAGUCUGGUACCUCCGGGGGAGUAUAACUUUAAUAGGAUUUGGCACCAACGACCCAGCUGAUUACCGCGGGCUUGCCAGAGAGAGAGACAAAGAGCAUGGCUGGAAUAGUUUUGUGUGAGAAAAUCUUCGAUAUUUUAUCUCUUCAUGGAUAGAAAAAAUGUUGGAGUGGUAGUUGAAGGCCUUUUGGACAACCUAGAGCAUCUUGAAAACAUGAUAUUUGGAAAAUACAGAAAAUGUUGAAUAAAUUUUAAGUUUCAAACGUA